rnacentral:rRNA from 1 species
UACGUAGGUGGCAAGCGUUGUCCGGAUUUACUGGGCGUAAAGAGCGCGCAGGCGGUCGUUCAAGUCGCGUGUGAAAGCCCCCGGCUCAACUGGGGAGGGUCACGCGAUACUGAUCGACUCGAAGGCAGGAGAGGGUAGUGGAAUUCCCGGUGUAGUGGUGAAAUGCGUAGAUAUCGGGAGGAACACCAGUGGCGAAGGCGACUACCUGGCCUGUUCUUGACGCUGAGACGCGAAAGCUAGGGGAGCAAACGGG